rnacentral:lncRNA from 1 species
CACCUGAUAGAUUUAUUAUAAAUAAUUAGUACACAAAGACACACAAACACAUUGAUGUGUGUAGAUCAACGAUAAAAAAUAUCAGGUGUAAUAUUCACUGGGUAUAGCAUUAAGAUAAUUCGAAAAAAAUAAAAAAAAUGACGUGGAAGGCACCAUUUUCUAUGGCCACUACACUUCAAAUUUGUUUCAUUUUUAUAUGAAAUAUUAAAUACAGGGUGGAGAUAAGAUAGAGACGUAUGUGGGGCACAUAUGCAUAUUGUCUUCAUUCCAAAUGCUUCUUUGACAAAAAUCUAGGUAGGAAGAAAGGCAUUAACUAGAUAAAUUUACCACUUUGCCCCUUCAAAUAUCAUUUUUUUCGGGCCAGAAUUAACACAUGAAGCCCAUUUAUUGGGCCUUACUUUAUCUCGUUUACUCAAAAUCCAAUGUUUGUGGAUCUUGAAAUCUCGUGGGCUUUAAUUUUGCACGUUGGUUCGUAUUGAGCCUUUAGAAUAAUUCAGGUACAUUUGUUGAAUUAAGUUCUUUGGCCCAUAUCAAAUACAAAUAAAUGAG